rnacentral:piRNA from 2 species
UCCAAAUGCUUUGCUGUAUUCGUUUUCUC